AUGUAUGGGAGAAUUACAGGAUAACUUUCCUUUUGCAGGGAAUUGGGAUUUCGUUUUAUGUAUUAAUUGCUCCAUCUCGAUUGCCCGCCAAAGGAGAGUUGCCCUGUGAUUGUUCUUUGCAU
rnacentral:pre_miRNA from 1 species